ACAGUAUAAAAAAAUGUUUACAAAUAUCUUAACUUGCAACGUGUGACAGGCUACACAUCAGUGUUGUCCAUCUUUAAUCGAGAAAUGCAUUCAGAACAUUUUAUGAAGUAUUGGCAGGCUGUACCUGACGUCUUACUUUCUUGCAACGAAAUCAAAAGAACUACAAACCAAUUAAAUUACUUUUUAUAGCAGCAUUUUCUUUGAAGAAUUUUUUUUCUUUGAAGAAUUUUCUUUGAAGAAUUUUAUUUACUAAUCAGAUUACUUGUAUUUCAUAAUUUCUUUAAAUUAUUUUUGGAGAUUUUUGGAUUUAAAUUUUGGUGUUAUACAAAAUUUUAAGUUUAAAAAAUUAUUUUACAUAUAGAUUCUUAGAUUUUUAAUAAUUAAUUUUUAUUCAGAAGUACAAUUAUAAUUGGAGUGUCCAGUUUUUGUAAUAUUUUUUCUGCAAAUAUCAAUUUGAUAUUA
rnacentral:lncRNA from 1 species